GAUGAAGAACGUAGCGAAAAGCGAUAAGUAAUGUGAAUUGCAGAAUUCAGUGAAUCAUCGAAUCUUUGAACGCACAUUGCGCCCAUUAGUAUUCUAGUGGGCAUGCCUGUUCGAGCGUCAUUAAGUCCACUUAAGCCCUGCUUAGUGUUGGGAGACUGCUCCAGCGGUGCUACCCUGUAGCUACCCUGCAGCUCCUCAAAGACAGCGGCGGAGUUGUGGUAUCCUCUGAGCUUAGUAACUUGUUCUAGCUUUCGAGUACACCACUUCCCCUGCCGUAAAACCCUUAAUUUUUAAUGGUUGACCUCGGAUCAGGUAGGAAUACCCGCUGAACUUAAGCAUAUCAAUAAGCGGAGGA
rnacentral:misc_RNA from 1 species